UACGAAAGGCCCAAACGUUAUUCGGAAUUACUGGGCUUAAAGAGUUCGUAGGCGGUAUGAAAAGCAGGGUGUGAAAGCCCUCGGCUCAACCGAGGAAUUGCGCUCUGAACUGUCGUACUAGAGGAAUCUAGAGGUGAGCGGAACUGAUGGUGGAGCGGUGAAAUGCGUUGAUAUCAUCAGGAACACCGGAGGCGAAGGCGGCUCACUGGGGAUUUUUUCUGACGCUGAGGAACGAAAGCCAGGGGAGCGAACAGG
rnacentral:rRNA from 1 species